UGGGAAACAGGAAGCAGCUUUUUGUGCUGCUUCAAGAGUCCUUCCUCUAAGGCCCGGGGCCUGAAGGCAGUUUACAAAGGAGGACAGCUGAGAUUCAGAGAGGUUUACUAACUUGCUGAAGAUUACACAGCUCCAAAAUGGUAGAGGAAGGACUCAACUUGAAGGCCUCAGGAUCCUAAUGUCUCAGCCUUCUGGUGAACACAAGCCCAUCAGAACAGAGCUGGGCCUUCACUAGUCUGGACGAUCAGCUGCUCAGAGCCUUGCAUACAGUGGGAGGCUGAGGAAUGUUCUUUCUAGAAGAAUGUGAUGCCUCGUGCAAAGCUGGUGCUCAAAAUAUAUGAUUAUGGAUGGAUAGGUCAACAAAGACAUAAACAGCAACAACCCUGGCUGCUCGGCCCUUUUGCUCUCGUCAUUGGCUUCUUUUUCCAGAGCAUGCAUCUUCUAAUAGAGGUGCUCCAGGCUGACUCCAUACCUCCCACUGAAUGACAAUUGUUCUAAAGGUAGACAUUCUUAUUUCAUCAUCAAGAAAAGCACUCUGUAGUGAACAAGGGCACUCACGCAAUUGGAUUCAUGGAGAGAUGUUUGUUUUUCUCCCACUUGUUUACUGUUGCUGGUGUUAGAUCAAGUCUGGCCUUUACUAUUCCAUUAAAAAAUGACCAUUUGUGAUUAGAUAUUUACAAAAAUAUAUUCAGAAUGAUAUAUUUCAGAUAUUACAUUUUUUCUAACAGUUCGUUUUAGUUUUGAAUAGAAGCCUUAAAAUACUUGGCCAGGUGCGGUGGCUCACGCCUGUAAUCCCAGCACUUUGGGAGGCCGAG
rnacentral:lncRNA from 1 species